CCAAAUCUCAAUCCCCAACUUCAAGUCCCAGACCUGCUCUCCCAACCGUCGCCGCCGCUAGUGUCAUGGCCACCUCACUCAGCCCAACCCCCUUCCAUCUCCCUAAAACCCAUACCCCAAUUACUAUAUUCCUUCUCAGACAAGAGAGAGAGAAGGGUUGUGGUUGCAGCGAUAGCCGUCCGAUCGUCGCAAUGCACUGGCCGUCGUUGCGAUCGUUGCAGAAGAAGCUCCCGGCGUCAUUGCUACCUUACCCAGCCCAACCCCCUUCCAUCUCCCUCAAAAAACCCUACCCAAAGCGCAGUUUUCUUCUCACAGAGACAGAGAAGGGGCGUGGUUGCAGCGAUUGCCGUCCAAUCGUCGCAGCGGCACUGGCCGUCAUUGCGAUCGUUGCAUAAGAAGCCGCCGGCGUCAUUGCCACCUCACCCAGCCCAACCCCCUUCCAUCUCCCUCAAAAAACCCUACCCAAAGCGCAGUUUUCU
rnacentral:lncRNA from 1 species